AUGCCGUGGUGUGGGCAUGCUUGAAUGUACUCCUGGAGACGCUCACAGACUUCCAAGAUGCUCUCAUCUGGUAAUUGCUGAAUUCCGGUAAUUGUCGGUGUUU